rnacentral:lncRNA from 1 species
UCAAAAGCUCCCUUUUAUUAGUAGAGAUUUUUGGGUUUCGAUAUUUUGGGUAUUAGGUAUGUCGGAUCUAGGAAAUUUUGUACCGAUUAGAUUGUUUAGAAUUUUGGAUCGUAUCGGUUUGGUACUCGGAUCAGUUCCAUUUGUUAAAAUUUAAAUCUAUAGAAAAUUACUGACUUUAUCCAAAAUUACUAGUUCGGAUUCGGUUUUUUUAUAUCCAAUUUUUUUUUCAAAAAUAACAAAAAUAUCUUCAAAUAAAUGAAAAUAUGUGCUACCUAAAAAUUAAAUAAUAUAUUCAAAUUUAUAACUAUUAUUUUAAAUAUUUGAAUUAUUAUAAAUAUUAACAUAACUAAUAUUUCUAGAUAUAUUCUAUCCGUUUCAUAAUUGAUGAUGUUUUAGAAGAUUUUUGGUGUUUCAAAAUAUAUGAUGUUUUGAUAUUUUUAUGUUAUUUUUAACUCUAUUGAAAACUGUGUAACCAAUUAGAUGUUGUAAUCAUUUUUGUAACUGGUUGGAUGAUUUUUAAAUUAUAUUUUGAAACUACUUUUUAAGAGAAAAGUAAAUUUCUUAAUCUUUGUGCAUUAAAGAAUAACAUCAUGUAUUGUGAAACAGAGGGAGUAUAUGUUUACAUUUCGGAUAUUUUUGGAUAUAUGUAAUUUUCGGGUUCAGUUCAUGCUAGGGUUUGAUUUUUCAGAUAUAGAAAAUUAUGUAUCGUUCGGAUAUUUAUGUCGAAACAGGUUGGUUUGAAUUUCGGAUCCGUUAAGUCUAGAAAUUACUUAUUAAUAUAUUAUGUUUCAUUUAAGUUUAAUUAUUAUACUUUUUACUAUGUCUAAAUUUUAGUUCUCGACGAUGUUGCUCUGCUUGAUCGGAUGGUGGAAAAUGGUCAUCCACCUGACCUUGUCACUUACAGAACAAUUGUAAACAGAUUGUGUAAGAUAUUAUACAGUGCCGCCAUGACGUCAUAGCGAUGCUCAAAAUCUUUUCAGUGAAAUGCACGAGAAAGGAAUCGUUCCGGAUGUAAUCACCUACAGUUGUAUGAUAUAUGGUUUUUGUAUCUCUGGUAGAUGGAGUGAUGGCGAGCGGUUGUUGCGCGAAAUGGUAGAAACAGAUAUCAAUCCCAAUGUUGUAAAACACAUUGAUCAAUGCAUUGGUCAAAGGAGGCAAGUUCAUUGUGCCGACGAACUAUACAGUGAGAUGCUCCACAUGGGUGUAUAUCCUAAUACAGUCACAUAUAAUUCAAUGAUCGAUGGACUAUGCAGACAGAACCGCUUAGAUGAGGCAAAACGUACAUUCGAUUCGAUGGGUAGUAAAGGCUGCUCUCCAAAAGUAGUGACCUUCACUACACUCAUUAAUGGCUAUUGUAAGGCUGGGAAGGUUGACGAUGGGAUGGAGCUUGCCCACGAGAUGUACCAAAGAGGAAUAGUUGCUGAUGAAGUUACUUACAAAACUUUGAUUUAUGGGUUUCGUCAUGUGGGUCAUUGAAGCCCUAGACAUUUUCCAGGAGAUGAUUUCCAGUGGUAUAUGUCCUGAUACCAUUACUAUCCGGAAUAUGCUGAUUGAUUUAUGGAGUAAGGAGGAACUUAAAAUGGCUGUGACAAUGUUUUAGUAUCUCCAGAAGAGUAUGGUAUGUCCUCCUCAACACAUAUUUUUUUCAAUUUCUUUGCUUACCUUUCGUGUGUUUGGAGAAGAAUGUAAACAUAUCCAGGAAAGUUUGCUACCAAAUUUCCAAUUUCAGCUGAAAAAUACAGAAUCCUUAUUAACCCGCUGAUUGGUUGGGUGUGCUUGUUUUGCAGCGUUAAUAAUUACAGGAUGAAUGAAGAACAAAUGUUUUUAUGUCUUUGGCAGCAAAGCUUCAGUGCCAUUUAAUUUUUGUUGGAUCUGUUCCUUACUAAUUUUUUAUCAGAUUACAAAAUAUUGAAAUUUCUUUAAGCCUGGUGAUUUUGAAUUUUAUUUUUAUUUUUUUAUUUUCAUUUUUUAUUUUAUAGUUUUUUGAGUAUUUUUUUAUUUUUCUAAUGGCUUUAUCACCAAAGUAGUAAUGAUUUAUGCAUAUAUAUGUGGAUUGGCGUUUGCUAAUCAAAAUACCAAAAUAGAUAAUACAAUAUAUCAAAUUUUACAAAUGUUACCUGGAGAUGUGCACAUGCCUACAUGUUUAUAUGUGUACAUGAUUACAUUUGUACAUGUGUACUUUUUUUAUGUGUACAUAUAUAUAUUAUUAAAAAAUAAAUAGGCGGAUAGUGUUAAAAUAAUUAUUUGUGGAUUGAUUUAUAUGUGAAUAGUGAAAACGUACUCGUCUAUAUACUCUUUGAGAUACACAUCCACACAAAAAUUAUAAAAUGAUCUGAAAAAUUCAUCAAGAAUUUGAGACUAAUUACAACAUUUCAUUUUGACUAGCUCACUUAUUACUAACUAUUGUUUUCCAGUGAACUUCCGACGGACAAUGCUGUUGGAAAAUUUCCUCGAAAAUUUCUAACAAAAAGCAUUGGUCUGGAUUUCCAUGUGUUCAUAUGUACAUAUUUACAUGUGUGCAUGGUGUACAUGUACAUAUUAUUAAAGAAACGUACAUUUCGUUUGUAAUGUACAAAUGCAACAUGAUUAUACACAUUACAUUUGAGAAGUUUCAAAUCACAUUUGAGAAGUUUAAAAUCAUAACACAAAAUAUCAGAAAACACAAAAGAUGAAAGUGAUGUACAUAACAUAUAGGUGAUUUUAAUGGUUUUCACAAACAUCUAAAUGUACACUUAAUUAAUAAACAUCUACAUGUACAUUUAGAAUGUACACAUGUAUUCGAUUUUUUUAAUAAUUAAUUUAUUAAUGACAUCAUUAUAAUUAUGUCAUCUUCUUCCCGAGUCCCUUAGGGUUACAAAUUUUACAAGAAAUUUGAGGAUUUUUAACUCAUUGGUAGGAACAAAAUGAAAGACAGCUUAAAAACAUUUAACUUGGUCUUAUUGCUCUUGAUUUCAUGUUGAUUUGUUAGCUGCGAUUUGUCGGCGGUAAAAUGAAACAAAAUGAAGAAGGAAAACAUAUGCAUGACAGCACGAUAAACGUUUCUGUGACCGGAGCUUGAGGGUGACGACGAGUGCAGCGGCUCAGGCAAAGAAGCUUACUGUGGUCAGGGUUACCCGCAUUCGAGCUCGUGACUCAAUCAUAUUCGCGACAGAGAGUUUUGAUGAGGGUUGGGAUAGUUUUGACGGUAAUUGAAAUUCAUAAAGGAAAGAGAGAGAGAAUAAAUCUUGACCAUUCAGUAUGUAAUUAAAUCAAUGGUUUAUAGCAAUUCAAGUGACUUUAUUAAUUGAUGCUAGUUUUUCUUUUUCUUUUUUAACGUUGGGAACACAUUACAUCAUCAUAUAAUCACUAGAUCUAUUACAUAUGAUGAUCAACUACCUGCAACAUAUGUGAUAUUGAUGAAUAGCUCCACGAAUAAUGAUUCCACGAUGAAGCUCUUCCCGAAACACUUGAAACCACAGACGGUUUUGCAUGUACGACAUCCUCGAUAGACAGGUUCUCACCGCAACAAGCGACCACAACGAACGGCUCUGUUUACAGUACUCUGGAACCUCCGAAAGCUUUGCAUCCUAUAAUCUACAAGAAAUUGCAUAGUAUGGGAUUCAAACCCCAUACCUAGGUGUAGAAGCCUUUUAACCAAUAGGCUAGGGUGCUUCCACAAUUGAUGCUAGUUUAGUUAGAUAUAUUUUCUAAAAGGAUGUAACUGGAUCAGUUAGGAGACAAGGAAAAAGUUAAGAAAAAGUGUCAUGAGGAGUACAUAGUGCUUUAGAGUGUAAAGAAGUAGAUGUGAUGUGACCUAUUGUGUAAAGGGUAAUUCUCCUAAAUAGACUAUUUUUAAGUUUUGAUCACAAAAAUAUACUACAAUGAGGAAAAUGACCAAAAUGUUUCAUUUAAUAGGUAAAAGGAACCUAAUACUCUAGAUAUAAAAAAAAUUAAAAAAUUAAAAAUAAAAUAAAAUAAAAAUAAAUAAACUUUUUUUAUAGUUUUAGAUUAUAUGUUUUCAAAUUCGAAUUUUUUUAUAAUUUUUGUUACAUAAAUUUUUUUUUCAAAAUUUUUAUUUUAUUUUUUUUUUCAAAUUUUGUUUUUGUAAUUUGAAAAUACUAUUUGAAACUAUUUUUAAAAUUUUUAUUAUAAAAUUUUUAAUAUUUAUUUUUUAUUUUAUAAAAUUUUAAAUCUCAAUCCCAAAUCUCCACCCCUCAGCUCUAAACCUUAAGAGUUAGAUUAGUUAACUUUAAUGAUAUAUAUGUAUAUUUACUUCUUUAAUAAAAUAUUUUGGUUAUUUUGAUAUUUAUGGUCUAUAUUUGUGACAUAAUUUUUUUUAGUGCUAUUUUAGGCUAUUUCCCGAUUGGUUAUAUUCGGUUUGAUAAAAAGUACAAAACCAACCCUAACUAAGUGUUCUUCAUUUCAAUUGAUUCCUUGUCUUAACCAGCGACUCAUCGCGCACUCUUUUAACUCCCAGUCUUCUGAUUCUAAACUUGUAUUCUUGCAAGAGAAGAUGGAUCGUAUCGGAAGUCUACCCGAAGAGGUUCUUUCUCAUAUACUGUCUUUCCUGACGACAAAGGAAGCUGCUAUAACCUCGAUUCUCUCCAAAAGAUGGCGCAAUCUCUUUACACUCGUCCCUAGCCUCGACAUUGACGACUCUGUGUUUCUUAACCCGGAAGAGGGUAAGCGGGAACGAGAUGGUAUCCUCCAAAGCUUCAUGGAUUUCGUGGAUAAGGUUUUGGCUUCGCAGGGCGAUACUCCCAUCAAGAAAUUCUCCUUGAAAUGCAAAACUGGCAUCGACACAGAUCGUGUGAAUCAAUGGAUAUGUAAUGUCCUCCAACGUGGCGCUACAAGCCUUGAACUUGUCCUCGAUUUUCCUGGAUCAGACGACAAUUGGGAUUCCGAUUAUAUGUAUCUUCUGCCUAGAGAGCUGUUCGUUAGUAGCAAACUGGUGGAGCUGAAAUUAAGAAGCGAGUUUGGUGUUGAUUGGUGGCGUGGAGGUACGGACACUUUCUUACCAAUGCUUAAGACUCUCCGCUUUGAAUCUACGUGGAUUCUGUUGUGUGAUGAUCUCGAGGUGUUUCUCUCUGCUUUCCCUGUUCUCGAGGAGUUCUACAUGGCUGAUAUCGAGUGGCCUCAAUCGGACCAAUCCGCGUCGAGUCAGAGCCUCAGGAAGUUAACUAUCCAUGCCGGCGGUUUCCAAGAUUUUCGAAAUCCGAAGAGGAUUUCGUUUGAUAGUCCGAGUCUCGUUUACCUUGAGUAUUCUGAUUUUGUUGCCGCGGAUUAUCCGAAAGUUAACUUGCCCAAUCUAGCCGAGGCUGUGCUCGACCUUAAGGUGACUCUACAUCAGAUUGACUUAAUACGAGAACCAGAUGAUGAAAAUGUUGUUUCUCUACGUCUUCGGAAUGUGUGGAAGCUCAUAAGAGGGUUAAGAAAUGUUAAUAAACUUUUCAUUUCUGCUGAGACUCUUGAGGUCAGUUGUUAUUCAUCUGAAACAUCAAAUGUUUUUUGAAACAAAUGUUAAUGUUGGGACUUAGGAUGGGUUUUUGUCUUGUUUUUCAGGCACUGUCUCUAUGCUGUGAGUCGAUGCCGGUGUUCAACAACCUCAAAUCUCUACAUAUUAUUUGUGAAGCGGAUCUGGGAUGGCAAGCGAUGCCGGCUCUCUUAAGGAACUGUCCACGUUUAGAAACUCUAAUCCUCAAGGUAUACGCCCAAAACAUUGUACAAUGGUACUUAGAGUUCCUUUAUUGACUCGCUUCCUCUUUCAAGGGUCUCUUACACCAUGUGACUGACAAGUGCGGGGAUGCUUGCGACUGCAUAUCUCGGGAGGACAAAGGUCGUUCACUAUCAUCAUGUCCAGUGAAGAAGCUGGAGAUCAGAGGGUUUCAAGGAACAGUUAGAGAGAAAGAGAUGAUAAGGCAUUUCUUGGAGUCUUUCCCUUGUUUGGAUGAGAUGGAAGUAUAUGCCGACCAGAGUGAUAAUGAUCCUACAAACGUUGAAGUAAAUAGAAUUUAUAAAAUCAUUGCAUACAAGGUCCACGGGAAGGAGAUUUCUACUCAUACUGUGCUACAGUCGAAGGGUAUGUCCCAAAGCCAGAUGGAGGAGAUCUCCUCUCAGGUAUAUUUAAUUACAUUAAAGAAAACCAUUACGGUUUUGAGUUAACUAAUCAGUCCUUUUCUUGUUUUCUGCAGUUUACACCCCGCAAUAACAGAAAUAAGUAUGGUAUGGUUUACAUCUUGCAUGGAACUCAUCCUCCACCGCAGGAGAUCUCUCAGUACUACAUUAAGGAGCUGCUUAAUGAGGAAUAUAAGGAGAGGCAACGAGUCCAUGAUGCUAUGUUUGAUGGAAUUGUUGAGCAGUACCCGAUGAUAGCAUCGGCAUUGAAGGCUCGACAAGCUGCAACAGACUCAGAGGCGUCUAACGAUCAGGAGAAGAAGCGGGACGUCGAGGCUCUGUUGGAAAUCAUGGGGGACCUGUAUCCAGAUUUUGCAUCAGCGCUGAAGGCUAUGCGUGGGACUGCCUUAGAGCGAGGGGAGCCGUCGAGGGAUCAGGGGGAGAUGGCCGAGCUCGACCAACCUACGUCCACAGCUGUGGCAGCAGAUCUCUUGCCACGAGAUGGAGACUAGAUUUAUGAUUGUGCUUUUAUUUUCCCGUAAAACUUGCAUAUUACAAAUUACUAGGGAUUAACCCGGGCUACGCCCGAGAUUUUUUAUUUUUUUCUAAUUUAAGCUGUUAAAUCAUUUAUAUUUAGGUUAUGAUAUAUAUUUAUAUAAAUGUUAAGAUGCAUGUCAUAAUUAAAAUUUGUUUUUGAAUUUUAACACGUUAAAUUAACAUAUUUUUUACUAUUUAAAUUUUUUUUUAAUUUUGUUGGCUAUCUAGUUAUCAUAUUUAGCAAAACUAUAUGUUGAGUGUUGGAAUAAAUGUUUUAGAUAUUUAAUUAAACUGCAGAGUAUUUUUGGAUCGAC